GCAGUCGUGGCCACAUGGUUAAGGCGAUGGACCAGAAAUCCAUUGGGGUCUCACCGCACAGGUUCGAAUCCUGUCGACUGCG
rfam:Ixodes scapularis strain Wikel colony gcontig_1108378723216, whole genome shotgun sequence.